GGGGGAUCGCAAGACCUCGCGCGGUUGGAUGGACCGAUGUGCAAUUAGCUUGUUGGUGAGGUAACGGCUCACCAAGGCGACGAUCGUUAGCUGGUCUGAGAGGAUGAUCAGCCUCUCUGGGACUGAGACACGGCCCAGACUCCUACGGGAGGCAGCAGUGGGGAAUACGGGACAAGGGGGGCAAGCCGGAUCCAGCAAUGCCUUGUGUGUGAAGAAGGCCCUCGGGUUGUAAAGCACUUUUUUCAGGAGCGAAAUCUCGAAGGGUAAUACCUUUGCAGUCUGACGGGACCUGAGGAAUAAGCACCGGCUAACUCCGUGCCACAGCCGCGGUAAUACGGAGGGGGCAAGCGUUAAUCGAAUUACUGGGCGUAAAGCGUGCGUAGGCGGUUCGUUAAGUUUUGUUGUGAAAGCCCCGGGUUCAACCUGGGGAAGGGCAUUGGAUACUGGCGAGCUAGAGUGUGUCAGAGGAUGGU
rnacentral:rRNA from 1 species